rnacentral:tRNA from 1 species
AGUUAUAUAGUUUAUUAAAAUAUUAAUUUUGUAAAUUAAUGAUAAAAUUUUAUUUUUAUAACUU